CUAUCCCCAAACUGCGACUCUUAUCUCUUGAAGUAAAUAAGUAAUCUUUGCUGACAGGACUAUGCUGAAUCUCCUUAGGCACUCUCUAAUUAGAUGUCCUAGGUCCUCCCAAUUCUUAGGCCUUUAAUACCUGUUUUUCUCCUUCUCUUAUUCCGUUUAGUUUUACAAUUCAUACAGAACCGUAUCCAGGCCAUCACCAAUAAUUCUAAAUGACAAAUGUUUCUUCUAACAACCCCACAGUAUCACCCCUUACCACAAGAUCUUCCUUCAGCUUUAUCUCUCCCACUCUAGGUUCCCACAUCACCCCUAAUCCCGCUUGAAGCAGCCCUGAGAAACAUCGCCCAUUAUCUCUCCAUACCACCCCCAAAAAUUUUCACCACCCCAACACUUUACCACUAUUUCGUUUUAUUUUUCUUAUUAAUAUAAGAAGACAGGAAUGUCAGGCCUCUGAGCCCAAGCUAAGCCAUCAUAUCCCCUGUGGCCUCCAGGUACACAUCCAGAUGGCCAGUUCCUGCCUUAACUGAUGACAUUGUCUUGUGAAAUUCCUUCUCCUGGCUCAUCCUGGCUCAAAAGCUCCCCCACUGCGUACCUUGUGACCCCCACUCCUGCUCGCCAGAGAACAACCCCCCUUUUCCCUUUACCUACCCAAAUCCUAUAAAACGGCCCCAUCCCAUCUCCCUUCACUGACUCUCUUUUCAGACUCAGCCCGCCUGCACCCAGGUGAAAUAAACAGCCAUGUUGCUCACACAAAGCCUGUUUGGUGGUCUCUUCACACGGAUGUGCAUGAAACUACCUACACCCAUACGGAAGGGAACAAAUCAUGAAAAGUAAUGGAAUGCUACAGCCUAGUCAGUUUUGAGAAAAGGCUAACCAACAACAACAACAACAAAUCAUAGUCAUGCUCAGAUUGCACAUGAACAAAAAAAUGUUGGAGAGAAACCAUUGAAAUAACUCACCGGUCCUCUUGUGUUGCUGCUUAUCUGAUUAUCUGAGGUCAAGGGAACUGAGGACAACAAAGGAAAUUAGGUCUUUCAUAGUUCUCAUUAAAUGCUGGAGGAGUCUGACUACUGCUGAGCUGAGCACUUCAGCGGCUUUGGAAAAGGAAGUGUGGUUACUUAUUUCACCACCUUCAUUGUGCUGGAGGAAAUAAGAAAUAGCUCUGAGACUAAUAAUAACAGAAACGGCAUCCACAGCAGCAGAGCCCAGUUGCACUUCCUAAAGGCAGUAUAAAUAAUUAAGUGUCUCUAUAGGCAAGCCACUAGGAAUAAACGAAAAAGAGCUGCAAUUGCUGAUGUGGUUUCACCCCAGUCCUGCCCAUGUUUCUUAACAGGAAAGGGAGUUGC
rnacentral:lncRNA from 1 species